rnacentral:rRNA from 1 species
GACGAACGCGGGCGGCGUGCUUAACACAUGCAAGUCGAACGUGAUUUUUGUGGAAAUUCCUUCGGGAAUGGAAGUGAAAUGAAAGUGGCGAACGGGUGAGUAACACGUGAGCAACCUACCUUACACAGGGGGAUAGCCGUUGGAAACGACGAUUAAUACCGCAUGGGACCACAGAAUCGCAUGAUAUAGGGGUCAAAGAUUUAUCGGUGUAAGAAGGGCUCGCGUCUGAUUAGCUAGUUGGAAGGGUAAAGGCCUACCAAGGCGACGAUCAGUAGCCGGUCUGAGAGGAUGAACGGCCACAUUGGAACUGAGACACGGUCCAAACUCCUACGGGAGGCAGCAGUGGGGAAUAUUGCACAAUGGGGGGAACCCUGAUGCAGCGACGCCGCGUGAGCGAAGAAGGUUUUCGAAUCGUAAAGCUCUGUCCUAUGAGAAGAUAAUGACGGUAUCAUAGGAGGAAGCCCCGGCUAAAUACGUGCCAGCAGCCGCGGUAAUACGUAUGGGGCGAGCGUUGUCCGGAAUUAUUGGGCGUAAAGGGUACGUAGGCGGUUUUUUAAGUCAGGUGUGAAAGCGUGAGGCUUAACCUCAUUAAGCACUUGAAACUGGAAGACUUGAGUGAAGGAGAGGAAAGUGGAAUUCCUAGUGUAGCGGUGAAAUGCGUAGAUAUAUGGAGGAACACCGGUGGCGAAAGCGGCUCUCUGGUCUGUAACUGACGCUGAGGCUCGAAAGCGUGGGGAGCGAACAGG